AUUGAACGCUGGCGGCAGGCUUAACACAUGCAAGUCGAGCGGGGGAAGGUAGCUUGCUACCGGACCUAGCGGCGGACGGGUGAGUAAUGCUUAGGAAUCUGCCUAUUAGUGGGGGACAACAUCUCGAAAGGGAUGCUAAUACCGCAUACGUCCUACGGGAGAAAGCGGGGGAUCUUCGGACCUUGCGCCAAUAGAUGAGCCUAAGUCGGAUUAGCUAGUUGGUGGGGUAAAGGCCUACCAAGGCGACGAUCUGUAGCGGGUCUGAGAGGAUGAUCCGCCACACUGGGACUGAGACACGGCCCAGACUCCUACGGGAGGCAGCAGUGGGGAAUAUUGGACAAUGGGGGGAGCCCUGAUCCAGCCAUGCCGCGUGUGUGAAGAAGGCCUUAUGGUUGUAAAGCACUUUAAGCGAGGAGGAGGCUACUCUAGUUAAUACCUAGGGAUAGUGGACGUUACUCGCAGAAUAAGCACCGGCUAACUCUGUGCCAGCCGCCGCGGUAA
rnacentral:rRNA from 1 species